rnacentral:rRNA from 1 species
AGCGAACGCUGGCGGCAGGCCUAACACAUGCAAGUCGAACGGAACCUUCGGGAUUAGUGGCGGACGGGGGAGUAACACGGGGGAACGUGCCCUUUGGUUCGGAACAAUUCAGGUAAACUUGAGCUAAUACAGGAUGUGCUAUUCGGGGAAAAGAUUUAACGCGAUUGGAGCGGCCCGGGACUGUUUAGCUAGUUGGUGAGGUAACGGCCCACCAAAGCGUAGCUCAUUAGCUGGGCUGAGAGGAUGCUCAGCCACACUGGGACUGAGACACGGCCCAGAGUCCUACGCGAGGGAGGAGUGGGGAAUCUAGCGCAAUGGGGGAAAGCCUGACGCAGCCAGGGCGCGUGAAUGAUGAAGGUCGUAGGAUUGUGAAAUUCUUUCAGCCGGGACGAUAAUGACGGUACCCGCAGAAGAAGCACCGGCUAACUUCGUG